UACGUAGGGGGCAAGCGUUGUCCGGAAUCAUUGGGCGUAAAGAGCGUGUAGGCGGCCCGAUAAGUCCGCUGUGAAAGUCGGGGGCUCAACCCUCGGAUGCCGGUGGAUACUGUCGGGCUCGAGUGCGGAAGAGGCGAGUGGAAUUCCUGGUGUAGCGGUGAAAUGCGCAGAUAUCAGGAGGAACACCAAUUGCGAAGGCAGCUCGCUGGGACGUUACUGACGCUGAGACGCGAAAGCGUGGGGAGCAAACAGG
rnacentral:rRNA from 1 species